CUUUCUUUCCUUUUUUUUUUUUUAUAUGCUUUCUGGAUGAGUUUUGGUUUUCACUUUUGAACAAUUCUAUGUUAAUGAACCAUAUCUGAAGAUGCAUAAAAACCAGUUUUUUCAGUCGAUUAACUGAACCAUUUGUAUACUUUUUUCUAGUUAAUAUAUACAAUAAGUAUGCUGGUUAGUUAAUUUGAGUAGGUCAUGAUGUUAUUGCUGCUAUGUUUUUUAUGUGGUUAGUUUUAAGCCAUAGAGAAAAGUAUUGAAUGGAAUCAGCAGCUAAUGAGUACUUUCGGGAAAAUUAAAAAGAAAAGAAAAAGAAACUAUUGAAAGAUAGGAUUGUUGAUUUUAGGCAUCAUUUAUUGAUUGUAUUCACAUGACGAAUAGUCACUUUUCAGAUGAGUGAUACUUGAGUUGCAAGAAUUCAAAAGAAUAUUCAUUCCACUCUUUCAUUGGUUUUUCUUCAGAAGUGGCAAAACAAUUUGCACGUGUUUGUUUGGGACUUUGUACUGGGGAGGCCAAAUUGGUGCAUUUUGGUGGUUGCAAUAUGAAUAUUUUCAUAAUUGGAGGAUUUAUUCAUCAGUUAAUGAUGAACCUGUUGAAAUAGUUACACUAAACCUUGUUAGUUUAAGGCUUGCAUACCAUUCGAUGUGUUUGUGCUUCUAUACUGUUCAGGUGUAUCCUGGUUCAGCUUUUUGUCUGCAUUUGAAUAACUGAGCCUUCUGUAGUGUUUGUCUGGUUUUAAAGCUACAUAAAGUUUGGGUUGGGCUGUUUGAGAUGAAUUUAUCAAAUCAAUCCAAUAUGGUCAGUUGUUGUGUAAUUCCAACAGUAACCAACCUUCUAAUAUUCAAUAUCCAACGAAACAGUACCAUUGAAAAUUGGCUUGGUUCAGUUGGUUUGAUCAAUUUAAGCUUUAUUAGAGCCCAAAACUGUUGAGUUUUGCAACUAUAUUAGAACAUCUCUUGAAUUAUACUCAAACAAAACCCUUAAUAACUAGAUAUUAUUCCUUUGUCAAUAAAUUUAUUUGUUAUCUAGGGGGAAAAAAAAAAAA
rnacentral:misc_RNA from 1 species